GACGAACGCUGGCGGCGUGCUUAACACAUGCAAGUCGAACGGAAAGGCACUGCUUUUGUGGGGUGCUCGAGUGGCGAACGGGUGAGUAACACGUGAGUAACCUGCUCUUGACUUUGGGAUAACUUCAGGAAACUGGGGCUAAUACCGGAUAGCAGCCCCUGCUGCAUGGAGGGGGUUGGAACGUUUCGGCGGUUGGGGAUGGACUAGCGGCUUAUCAGCUUGUUGGUGGGGUAGUGGCUUACCAAGGCUUUGACGGGUAGCCGGCCUGAGAGGGUGACCGGCGACAUUGGUACUGAGAGACGGCCCAGACUCCUACGGUAGACAGCAGUGGGGAAUAUUGCACAAUGGGCGGAAGCCUGUUGCAGCAGCGCCGCGGGCGUGAUGACGUCCUGCGGGUUGAGAACCGCUGUCGCCUGUGACGAAGCGUGAGUGACGGUAAUGGAUGAAGAAGCACCGGCUAACUACGUG
rnacentral:rRNA from 1 species